rnacentral:lncRNA from 1 species
UUUUGAGAAAAAUGUGACGAAAGUUUCAUGGGACGGACUGACUGACAGACGGACUGACGGACGGCCUGACGGACGGAUGGACAGACAGAGGUAAAACAGUAUACCCCCCCUUUUUUAAAGCAGGGGUAUAAUAAUUUAAACAAUCUAAUCUUUUAAUUGAUCAAAAUGGACGGGCAGACAAACAAAGGUUAAGUUAUAUCUCAUUCCUACGACGACAGAUUAAAAGGUAUAAUAACAGCAUCAAUUUUCUAAUCAGAAUAAUUCUCAUACAUUAUUAAUAGUUCGCUGUCUAUUUAUUCCCUAUAAAUGACUUGCUGUUCAGCAAACUUUUAUUGCAAGAAUAUUUCAUUGACUAUUUUUGUCUUUAAAUCUUUUUAAAACCAUCAGUGUCCAACACAUUGUGGUACAUGUAAGACAAAUGGCAAUAGCACUUAAAACCAGUCAGAUCACAGACAUUUCAUGGUGGGUAAGGUGAGAGUCUUUUCAUUUAACAUCCUUCAAAUUCUAUCCACUGAUCCAGAUGCCUGAAAUGAACAAAAUAAAGUAAGAAAAAAUAAUGUGGAGUAUUAGAGAUAAUUUUAUGACAAUUAUUCUACAUCACAAAAACUGAAUCUCAUUCUUUAAAAUCAAUUUAUGUUAAUUUUUUUGAUGGGUAAAUUAUUACCCUGUAUGACAUUUUUGUCAGGAAGUAUAUAUUCAGUAUUCUGAAAUUUAAUAUCAAUCUUCUUGUAGUCAAAUUUUAACUGUUUUCAAUUAAAUCAACUUGCUCACCAGCUUUCUUUUUUCAAAUAACUAUAGUAGAGGUAUCUUCAAUUGCCAAUAGUCACAAUUUAUCUUGUUUAUUUUUAAUAUUAUAAUUAUAAUGCUGAUUCAACAGCAAGGUUUCCAUUAUAAUAUAUUAAGAACAUGUCCCAAUAUUAGUUGAUAAUAAUGCUUUAUACUGUCAGGGGCGUAGCAGCCGCUGUACCAAUAAUUUUCGUUGGUACAGCAUGCCGUACCUAAAAUUUAUAUAAUUUAUUUUAAAAAAACCAAGGUAUUUGCAAGGGAAAAAAGAAAACAAGGUUUUUAUAGGAAAAAACGAAGAUAGAAAAUCCCAUUUAUGAGUUAUAAGCUAUAUAUACGGUAUACCUUUAUUAAUACUGGUUCAAUAGAAAUAAGGAUAUGCGGUAGACUAGAAGCCAAUUCAUGAGACAAGUUGAACUCUUAAUCCAGGUCUCACAGUGUGUAAAAAGUAAACAAUUAUUAUAGGUCAAACUGAGUACAGACUUCAGCAUGGUUUCUAGUCUCAACGUGACAGAUUAAUAUGCAAAAAAAAGGAACCGACAAUGAAAUAAAAAAAGGCGCAAGGUAGGGCCGACCUUGCAAGGGCUGUGUAGCCAGUCAAAGUCGUUCAAAACUUCCAUCAGGGUUGUGUAAAACAAUUCAAAGGGGAAUUAAAAAAAUCGCUUCAAAUUUCAACGUUUCAUGAUGAAAAAUUUGUUAAUUCUCAAUCAAAAGAAUGUUAUAUAUAACAAGAGAAAUUUUAUUUGCAUUCUGUUUUUCGUAUGUUUGGUUCAAAUUUGCAAACCUUCUGUGAGGCACUUUGUUCAGUGUAUAUUAUUUUCCUUAAUAUCAGAGUUUCACCCUCUACAAAUUUACCAUCUGCUGUGCGAUGUCAAAUAAAAGGCUGAAAGUAAACAUUCCAUGACGCUAAAAUCUGAAACCAAGUGUUAUGAAUAUAGGUCGUGGAUGAUAAGUCCAGUACACACAUAGUCAAAUUGCACCCUGUUACCCUGAUCCUUAGAAUGGUACAUAAAGCUAGACAAGUCUUAGCCUCUGUGGCUCAUUUUAAUUUAUUUUUUAUUUUUUUGUUUGUCUAUUUCAAAAAUUAAAAAAAAAUUAUAUAUAUAUUAUCAAAUUUUUUUUUUAAUUAUUUUUUUAUGUCGAUAAUGCAACCUUAGCUUCUUAUUAUUAUAUUUCUGUGUAGCUGAACUUUAUGUGAAUGUCUUUUAUUUGCACUAUUUUUUUUUUUUAAACACGACUGUAAAAUGAUCAAUCAGACUUCUGCCUCGUUCACACGUACAUUUUAUUUGAAUUGAAUUUGAAUCGAAUGCAAAUCAAAAUUGCUAAUCACGUUCACAUACUCUUCUUUUUUAAUUCGAAUUGGCUAAUUCAAAUUAUCCAAUGGGAAUUAGAAAUACGAUUUUUAAUACGAAUUAAAAGUUAAUGUUGUUUGGACAGUACAGCAAAUUUGACGUGCAAUGUAAUUCGAAUUAGAAUUGACGUUAGGAAGUAAAACGUUUUGAAUGCAAAUUAAACGAAUUUGAAUUAGUUAAUGCAAAUUGAAUUCGAAUUACGUGUGAACUCAGCAUAGAUUUCGUUGACUUUUCCAUAUCCUGUAUAUUUUUGCAACAAUUUGUUACUUAUAUAAAUACUUUAUUCGCUCGUAUUUAUUGUAAUAUAUUAUUAACUAUGUCAAAGUCGACGUGAUUUGUGGAAUUGACCAGUACGUCGAAAAAACAUCAUUCAGUCAUUUUAAAAUUCAAAUUACAGUAACACAUUGCUACGACUGAAGAUGACAAGCAUAACACCUUCAAAGAGACAAAGGAUGGACAAGGACGUUUUGACUCCUAUUUCACAAUUCCACUCAGCAGAAGGCAAUACUCUAUUACACUCAUAUGAAAAAGUUCCACAGCUAUAACAUUUAUAACCUACAAAAACAUGUUUAGCCCCACACGCCCCAGCCCAUUAAUAAAUUGCUGAAUAAUGAUCCACAGUCAGUAAACUCUACAUGGAUAAAAAAAUCUAAGGUACAGACCAUUUGAUUUUCAAGGGCGGGGGUCACAGAUAAUUUAGAGAUUAAAAAAAUGCUGGCCCUGUUUUUUGCCGUCGUACCUGGGUUGAAAUAAUAAUCUUGCCUAAAUUUUUGCGAUUAGAAAAAAAAACUUCCAACAAAAUUAUUUAGCAUCAAAUGAAUUAAAAACGCAUAUUUUUUUAACACUUAAAAAAAAUGUUAAUAAGAAAUUCAUUCUUCGGUUACUUGUUAUAACCUUUAUUUCAGUGACUAACUUAGCUAGGGAGAAUUUUUCCAUGUCUUUUUUUUACUGACAAAUCCCACAUAAUAUAUUAGUACAUAGCUUGGAUCCAUCCAAUCAUUCUAUAAUAGAAAAUUAAUUCGGGAGUCGAAUACAGCAUCAAAAAUGUUAAACCCUUGCACUUUAACUAAUAAUUUAUACAUGCCCCACUUCAGGAACUGUUUAACAAGUGCAUUUUACACUUAUUUUAUGUUUUUGAGCACAAAAAGGUCCACAAAAAAAUUGCCUCGCAAUGCUCCGCCACGAAAUUUAUUCGACACCCCCACUUUGAAAAUCAGGGAUCUGCCCCUGUAUCCCAAGAUCCCUAGCAUGGCAUCCGACACAACUUGAAAGUAUUAAUCUUAAUUUUAGCCAAGAUAUUCCACUUUUUUUUUUAUCCAUUUGGAUUGUUGACUUUUUGACACAUUUCAUGUUUCAAAUUCUCUUUUUCAUUAUUUUGUAUUUGACUUUCAAAAAAGUGUCAUAAGUCUUUUUGUUAAAAAAAUGAUGUUUUCAUGAGUGAAAUUAAAGUGUCGGGAGAGGGUCAGAAUGCAGAAUUUUGCACCAUUUACCUGAAAAUUUUUCGAGGGCAUGGGCUGACCCAAACCCCCGAUGAAUAUCCGCCACGUUGAGGCGGGAUGAGUUGCUCUGCGACCCAUAAAAUUUCCUGUCGUACCAAUAUAAAUUUGAGUGCUAUGCCUCUGACUGUAUCAGGAUUUGUCUUAAAAUUGUUUGUAAGAUGUUUGAAAUCUUUGAUAUUUGAAAACUAAUUCUCUAUCACUGAAUUUAAUUUUACAUUCAUCAAAUGUUUUAAAGUUUUCUAGUAGUAUUAGAGAUUUUAAAGAGAAAGACAGAAUACCUGACCAGACUUUCAUCAGGAUAUCAUUGAUUAUUUAAAAUUCUGCUGAAAUGCAAUAGAGUAUUUUCAUCAAAAUGUUUUUGUGUUAUUUGCAUUUUUAUUUUGUACCAAAUACAAGUUAUUUUACAAAUUUUCAGUAAGAUUGUCAGGUAUGAAAUUUUUACCUAAGAUAUGCAUAGAUAAUCUGCCACUCAGAUACAUUGCUAUUACAUACCAUCAGAGUUCAUAAUAGCAACUAUGAGUUUUGCCUCACAAUCAAUCAGCAGUCUACUAUAUAUUUUUAUACCCCCCGCUUUGAAAAAAGGGGGUAUACUGUUUCACCUCUGUCUGUCCUUCCAUUCAUCAGUCCGUCAGUCCGUCCGUGCCAUUUACAUUUUUGUCACAUUUUUCUCAGGAACUACACUACAAGGAUUUCUGAAAUUUGGUUUCAGGCUUGAUAACAACUUCCUGUUUACCGAAC